rnacentral:rRNA from 1 species
GUUUCCUGAGCUAAUACCGCAUGAAGCAUAGGGGUCGCAUGAUUCUUAUGCCAAAGAUUUAUCGCUUCAAGAUGGCCUCGCGUCUGAUUAGCUAGUUGGCGGGGUAACGGCCCACCAAGGCGACGAUCAGUAGCCGGACUGAGAGGUUGAACGGCCACAUUGGGACUGAGAUACGGCCCAGACUCCUACGGGAGGCAGCAGUGGGGAAUAUUGGGCAAUGGGCGCAAGCCUGACCCAGCAACGCCGCGUGAAGGAAGAAGGCUUUCGGGUUGUAAACUUCUUUUAAGAGGGAAGAGCAGAAGACGGUACCUCUAGAAUAAGCCACGGCUAACUACGUGCCAGCAGCCGCGGUAAUACGUAGGUGGCAAGCGUUGUCCGGAUUUACUGGGUGUAAAGGGCGUGCAGCCGGGUCUGCAAGUCAGAUGUGAAAUCCAUGGGCUCAACCCAUGAACUGCAUUUGAAACUGUAGAUCUUGAGUGUCGGAGGGGCAAUCGGAAUUCCUAGUGUAGCGGUGAAAUGCGUAGAUAUUAGGAGGAACACCAGUGGCGAAGGCGGAUUGCUGGACGAUAACUGACGGUGAGGCGCGAAAGUGUGGGGAGCAAACAUGUAAAAA